rnacentral:tRNA from 1 species
AGUAUGUAGCUAAGUUUUAAAGUUUUUUAUUUACAUUAAUUAGAUAUUUUUUUUGAUUAUACUUAU